rnacentral:rRNA from 1 species
UACGUAGGGGGCGAGCGUUGUCCGGAUUUAUUGGGCGUAAAGAGCGUGUAGGCGGCUUUACAGGUCCGUUGUGAAAACUCGAGGCUCAACCUCGAGACGCCGGUGGAAACCGUAAAGCUAGAGUCCGGAAGAGGAGAGUGGAAUUCCUGGUGUAGCGGUGAAAUGCGCAGAUAUCAGGAAGAACACCCGUGGCGAAGGCGGCUCUCUGGUACGGAACUGACGCUGAGACGCGAAAGCGUGGGGAGCGAACAGG